AGAAACUCAAAUUCUUAUCAUCCUUUGUGGGCCAGAAAAUCAAAGUGAAUGUGGUAUUGACUGACAGAAAAUCUAGAAAGUUAAUAUUUUCCGUGAAACCAAAAGAGAAGGAAGAAAUGGUUGAGAAAAAGAGAAGCCUAAUGG